rnacentral:rRNA from 1 species
GCAAGUCGAACGGUAACAGAAGAGCUUGCUCUUGCUGACGAGUGGCGGACGGGUGAGUAACGCGUAGGAAUCUACCUAUCUGUGGGGGAUACCAGUUGGAAACGACUGUUAAUACCGCAUAAUACCUGAGGGUUAAAGGUGGCAACUUGUUGCUGCCGCGGAUGGAUGAGCCUGCGUUAGAUUAGCUUGUUGGUGGGGUAAUGGCCUACCAAGUCGACGAUCUUUAGCUGGUUUGAGAGGAUGAUC